rnacentral:rRNA from 1 species
UCAGGAUGAACGCUAGCUACAGGCUUAACACAUGCAAGUCGAGGGGAAACGACAUCGAAAGCUUGCUUUUGAUGGGCGUCGACCGGCGCACGGGUGAGUAACGCGUAUCCAACCUGCCCAUCACUUGGGGAUAACCUUGCGAAAGUAAGACUAAUACCCAAUGAUAUCUCUAGAAGACAUCUGAAAGAGAUUAAAGAUUUAUCGGUGAUGGAUGGGGAUGCGUCUGAUUAGCUUGUUGGCGGGGUAACGGCUCACCAAGGCGACGAUCAGUAGGGGUUCUGAGAGGAAGGUCCCCCACAUUGGAACUGAGACACGGUCCAAACUCCUACGGGAGGCAGCAGUGAGGAAUAUUGGUCAAUGGACGAGAGUCUGAACCAGCCAAGUAGCGUGCAGGAUGACGGCCCUAUGGGUUGUAAACUGCUUUUAUAAGGGAAUAAAGUGAGUCUCGUGAGACUUUUUGCAUGUACCUUAUGAAUAAGGACCGGCUAAUUCCGUGCCAGCAGCCGCGGUAAUACGGAAGGUCCGGGCGUUAUCCGGAUUUAUUGGGUUUAAAGGGAGCGUAGGCCGGAGAUUAAGCGUGUUGUGAAAUGUAGACGCUCAACGUCUGCACUGCAGCGCGAACUGUUUUCCUUGAGUACGCACAAAGUGGGCGGAAUUCGUGGUGUAGCGGUGAAAUGCUUAGAUAUCACGAAGAACUCCGAUUGCGAAGGCAGCUCACUGGAGCGCAACUGACGCUGAAGCUCGAAAGUGCGGGUAUCGAACAGGAUUAGAUACCCUGGUAGUCCGCACGGUAAACGAUGGAUGCCCGCUGUUGGUCUGAAUAGGUCAGCGGCCAAGCGAAAGCAUUAAGCAUCCCACCUGGGGAGUACGCCGGCAACG